UACAGAGGGUGCAAGCGUUAAUCGGAAUUACUGGGCGUAAAGCGUGCGUAGACGGUUACGUAAGUCAGAUGUGAAAGCCCCGGGCUCAACCUGGGAAUUGCAUUUGAGACUGUGUAGCUAGGGUGCGGAAGAGGGAAGCGGAAUUUCCGGUGUAGCGGGUGAAAUGCGUAGAUAUCGGAAGGAACACCAGUGGCGAAAGCGGCUUCCUGGUCCAGCACCGACGUCAGGCACGAAAGCGUGGGGAGCAAACAGG
rnacentral:rRNA from 1 species